rnacentral:misc_RNA from 1 species
UUUGAUAUAACUAAAGAGAACAUAAUAAUAGAAAUUGGAGGAAACCGGAAAUAUAGUCCUAUAAAGUUACACAUGAACUCCCAAAUCGUGAAAGUUUGGCCAAUCUUAUCACCCCAACAAAUGAAACACAACUAUGCUUUCUUGAUGGACUCGACCUUGCCAUCAUUUCCUCCAAGCUUCAAGUACUUGUCCUUCCUUGUGAGUGUGGUGCACUCGAACCCCAAUGCCGCCCCCAAUACUUUCUGAACAUGAUUAGCCACUUCAAUAGGCGAUCUCCCCCCACCACAUGUGUGCUCCGACGGAAGUGGGUCUAGAAAAGUCACCUCGUACACCGGUCGUGGGUUCAUAAAAAAGAAGUAUGCAUCAAAGAAUUUCAAACCUCUCACCGAAGUCCCGUAGAACAUACCCUGCCUCGUCGCCACCGCCACCGGCACAAUUCGAUCACUCAGCUCCGCAAACAACGGGCUGAACCGCAAAAGGUACGGCUCCCGACAUGUGGUCCCCUCCGGACAAACCACAACAUCACCGUGCUCGAGGAGGCGAGCAAUACGGGCAGCAUCAACAGCACGAUCGCGAGUGAGGGCAACCGACGGAAUUGGCGACAUGCGGGCGGAGAGUGAGUUAAUGCUAUAGGUAACACAAGAGACCGUGCGACCAAGCGCAAUACUGAUGAUGAUGGGGUCGAGGGCGGUGCGGUGGUUGCAGACAAGGAGGGAUCCUGGGGACCCCGGUGAUGGAGGGGGCGGCGGGCGGCCACGGAUGGAGAGGUUGAUUCCGGUGAUUUUGUAGGUGUAGCGGACGAGGUGGACGGGGACGGGCAGGUUGAAGAAGACACGGAAGACGGCAAGGGCAAACCCAAGAGGGAUCCAGAGGAAGGUGAGUAAUGCCGUAAGUGGCUCCGGUCGUUGGACGAAGCGGCCAUCGUGAAAGAUGACGGGAUUAUCCAACUGGUCUGGUGGGACCCGGUUCGCCUUCGGAUCGGGUGGCACCAUAUAACCCUCCUGGCACAAGGACAUAAAGUCAUGAUCGGACUCCCUAUCACCUAACCCUAGCUCCGGCCGCUCCUCCCCAAACUCCGCCAGCACCGCCUCCCGCUUCUUCUUCCUCACCAGAACCCCGGGCCCGGUGACGAACCCCGUCGCUCUUCCUGUCUUCUUAUUCACCUCGAGCUCCGUCCCGAGCACUACGUGACCGCCGAGUUGUUCUUUCACGAAAUCUUCAACCAUCACCGUCGGGUUGGCCGUGACCACCACCCGUUUUCGCCCGCAGGACCUGAACGCCUUCCAACUCUCCGCUCGCACAUCGGCUGCGUAAAACCGUGGCAGCACCGCUCGGGCUGCUAGUUUGAUGUCGCGCAUGCGGAGCCCGGCGACGGAGAUGAAGAUCAUGAGCUGGAUUCCGGCUGCUUCGGAGACGAGGCUGUAGAGGAAAGCAAUGGCAGGUGAGAGGAGGAGGAGGGUGAUGCCGCGGAGGAGGCUGCCGGCUUCGACGGCAAGGAGGAGGAAGUAGGGGAAGGAGCUGCGGGAGACGAGGAGGGUGCCGUCGAGGUCUGCGGCGACGGAGUGGGAGUGGCGGCCGGAGGGGUUGCAGUGGGCGAUGGAGGGGAAGGUCCCGGCAUGGGUGGCCAUGUUGGGUGGAUGAGUUUGGUUGGG